CGCUUUGUAGCUCAAAGGGUAGAGCAGCUGACUGAUAAUCAGUAGGUUGUCAGUUCAAUUCUGACUAAAGCAC
rnacentral:tRNA from 1 species